rnacentral:lncRNA from 1 species
GGGGGACACAGUCAAGGACAGAACUUCAAAUCACAUCCCACAAAUAGAAGAAUCAAAUGAGUAUUUUUAGUCUAGGAAAAAGGAGACAUGAAGGGUGGGAAAAGGAGGAUGGAAGUUGGUUUGAUAUAGUAGAAAGCUUCAAAUAUCUGGGCUCUAUUAUGAAAAGGGAUUAUCCUAUUGUUUCUAUUUUUAAAUGAUCAACUGAUAUAAAUAAAUGGAAGUGACAGUUCGAUUUCACCUCUGUUUCACACACUCCAAGCUUUCCAGUGAUGGUCCUGGCUGCCACUGAAGGAGGGAGUUUCUCUUUUUCAAGGGUUUAAGAUGAAUAAAAAAUUUGUAGUGAUGGUGGUUAGACUAGAUAACAUUAAUAUUAUGCCAGACUACGAUGCUUUUAUUCUGUGAAUUAAAUCAGAUAGCUUCCUUGUGCCAAAUGUAUCCUUUGGAAAAAUGGACACAGAGAAUAUAUUUACAAGUAAAGCAUAGGAAAUAAACUCAAUAGCUUAAAAAUACAAAUCUGACUUAGUAAUUUGUCCAGCUUUUUAAAUCACCUGAAAAAGUUUUAAGACCUAUAAGUGUUCCAUUAUAUGAAAAAAAUUCCCAAUUUCUGAGGGCUGCAGGUGCGGCAUAUGGAAGUUCCCAGGCUAGGGGUUGAAUCGGAGCUACAGCUAGCUGCCGGCCUAUGCCAAGCCACAGCAACACCAUAUCUGAGCCCUGUGUCUGCAACCUACACCACAGCUCAUGGCAACACUGGAUCCUUAACCCACUGAGCAAGGCCAGGGAUCAAACCCUCAUCCUCACAGACACUAUGUUGGGUUCUUAACCCACCGAGCCACAAUGGGAACUCCCUCCCAGUUUUUGAUAUUAAUCUUCUAGUUCUAAUCACUGUAAAGGCUACUGACUCAUAUUUCCAGAAUUCCCUCAAUCUUUUCCCAGAUUUAAGUUAAAAAGAAAGGCUAAAGCGUUCUGCUUGAACAUCUCCUCUUAAUAUACAAAAAAAUUGUAGAUUGAAAAAGAUUAGUAUAGUACUCCAACUUUCUUUCAAAAGCUGAGAUUCCAUGCUGCCACCCUUUCUGUCAAUGUCAAAGGACCCACAUGUGUCCUGAAGGAAACUUUGUGUCAGGUAGAGACCCUGGGGAUUCUUUACAUCUUCCCAUAAGCCAAGUAAAAUGCUUCAAUUAAAGCAAUUGGUAUGCAAUAAAUGUUGACUGUCAGAUACAUAGUUUUCUGAAAACCUGGCAGAAGGUUGCUUUAGAAGAACUUGUCUCCACACUAGCUUCUUCAGUUUUGAAGGUCCCAAAAGACUUUUAUAAAGGGAAAUAAAAGAUUAUUUAAAUAAACUAAUAUAUUAAUAAUCAUGCUACUAAUGGAGCUCAUAGGAUUAGAACUGUCCUACUUAAUUUGGAUUGCUUUUAAUAGAUGUGACUUUUCUAAUUUUCUGGAGAAUGGUUCUGUAUUUAACACAUUCAUCAACUGUGAUCAUCUUCUUCCCUUCAACUUUAGAUAAAAUUGCGCUAAUUCCCAUUCCACAUUCUAUUGAAAGUCUAAUGCCAGGCUUCAGAAAAAGGUAAGGUGGGAAUGUGUGUUUGGGAUGAGGAGGGUAGCAGCUUAUGUUUAUGCUACUUCCAAAUUCAUCUACAUCCAAACUCUUACUUCUGCUAGACUAACUCAGCGUGUGGUUCAUCUCAUGGUCUCUGCAAACUGUCAAGUCCUACACCUACCACAUGAGCAAUUUGGUCCCUUUCCUUUAUUUCUGUUGAAACACAAGGAGGAAACAAAGAAACAAAAAGGAGGGUUCAGCUAUCCUUUUAUGUAAAUAGACUUCACAGAAGUUUUUGGAAUAACAGAGGGGAUUUACAGAACACACACACACACAAACAUACAUACAUACACCCCUCGCAAAACUUAACAUUAGACAUCUCUCUUCUUCUAGUGUCCCUUUCCACCGAGUAGGUCCCAGCUCCUGAAAACUUCCCUGUGUCUCUUUUCUUUGUUUUCCUUCACCCACACAUUUCUUCUUACUUCUUAAAUAGAGAUUCUAGCAAUAUCAACAUUUAAAGGAGUUCCCAUCGUGGUGCAGAGGAAAUGAAUCUGACUAGGAACCAUGAGAUUGUGGAUUCGAUCCCUGGCCUUGCCCAGAGGGCUGGGGAUCUGGCGUUGCCAUGAGCUGUGGUAUAGGUUGCAGACGCAGCUCAGAUCUGGCAUUGAUGUGGCUGUGGUGUAGGCCGGCAGCUGUAGCUCCGAUUGGACUGCUAGCCUGGGAACCUCCAUAUGCCACAGGUGCAGCCCUCAAAAAGACAAAGGACCAAAAAAAAAAAAAAAUUUUUUUUAAAUCUUACAGUCAUGUUUGGUAUUUCCUUUUCUUACAUCCCCUAUAACUAAACUGUCCCCAAAUCUAUUUUGUUCUCAGACAGCAUUCAGAAUGAACUUCUUUUCUUUCCUGCUACCUGUUCUCUAGUCCAAAUCCAUAGAUCAUCUGCAGCUUUUCUCUGUCCUCCUGCAAUGAACUAACCUGAUCAAACACAUGAAAAUACAUUUGCUCAGGUUCCAUUCUUGCUUAAAAGUUUUUCGUCAAUUCCUAACUUCCCACCCAGAGUUUUAAAUGGCCUCUUAUACCUAGACCAGCUCUGUAUUUUUCCGAGUUAAUGUCCUAACUCAGACCUCACAACUCACACAAAGCCUUACCAUCUUGCCUUUGUUCUUGAUGUAUGGCUGUAUAUCCUUUGUUUAUUCAAAUCCUACUCAUGUUUGAAGAUUCCCUUCCCAAUCCCAUCCCUACCUUAUAUAUUUCAAGCCUAAACU